UGGUUAAAUAGCAAUUUGGUUUCAUCAAAGUUUUGUGUUACAAAGUAUUCAUCUACAACCCUUGAUGAGAGCCCAAAAUUUCUGGUUAUUAACUCAAGUGACAUUGGCCCAAGAGAUGCAUCUCUAGUUUGUAGAAAAUUUGUGAGAGCAAAUAGAAGAAUCUUUCGUAAAAAAAAUUAAAAUACUUUAUAGAAAGUGUUGGAAUUGCAAUUAGUAACAAAUAGCUUUGAAUGAUAUAAUUUUCUAGGAAAAGACUCUCUCGGAUACAUCUACAAAGUAUUUGUGAUGGACUCUUAGGCGUUUCCAACCUUGCAAAGCGGGGAUUGUUCCCUAGUUAUUAAUUAAUUUAAAACUAUUUAUUUCAAUAUUUUUAAUUGCUUAAAAAAUAGUUUUUUAGACAUACUUUAGUUUACUUAAUAUUUCGAUGAUAUCAACCUCGAGUAUGAAUAUAUGGAAAAAUACCAUAAAAGUCCCAUAAUUGAAAAAACCUUUUAUUUAUUUUUUGUAACAAUAAUCAUUUUUUCAAAAAACUUCCAAAUUUUGGUCAUUACCCUAUAGGCUAUAGCCAUCCGGUUGUCUUAAGGUCCCAGUUAUCCUCUGAUCCUCAUGUUCUUCCUCACCAAUUCCUUGCUUCUCCUCUCCUCGACACAACUAACGAAUUUUCCCUCUUUGAUCCAAUCUCACCCUUCUUCAUGCCUCUUGAACUCUCCCCGUUUUUUCACAACCCUAUUUCUCCUUUUGUGUACCAGUGAGGUGAAUGGUUCUCCAUUGUCCAAUCAAAUUAAACGAAGUUUAGUUUUCUUUAUCUUCGGUUCUUAUUUGAAAAUAUAGAGGGAAAGUAAUAGCCUGGUGAAUUGAUCUAUAGUCAAACUCCAUGAAUCUCCACAUAUUUUUUUAAUCGAAGAUUUCCUAACAAAUCGAUCUAUUUUUUUGGUAGAACAAAGGAUUAGGGUUACUUGUGAUAGAAGAUUACCAUAAUCCAACAACUGGCUAAAUGAGUGACUAUUAUAAAGGGGACUCUUGAUCAACACUAGGAGUUGGUGGAUAAAUUCUAUGUGUUGUGAGUAGAAGAGAAAAGUUAGAUGAACUGAAUAAAGUUGCUAAUCAGAGGAGGUUUGAUAAGAUGGACUAGAAAGAGCAUCAUAGUAAGAUACACCAAAAUAGUUGGUAAUAAAAUGCUUAAUGUGAUAUUACCCGCAAGAUGGAAGUUCUAAGAAAGGAUUCAAUUCAAGUUUAUAAGCUGGUCUCCUAUGGCUACUUAGAGUGGAUUGAGAGGUAGGAACGAAAGCAUGCUAAUGAGCUAAAAGUCCUAAAUAAUCUCAAAUGCCAGUUAAAAUGGGAGCUGGGAUGCAAAAUGAGGAGAAUGGGGAUGAAAAAGACGCAAACAUGAUGUUGCUGGACAGAUUAAACUCUCUUAAAUAUUUGGCUAUAUCUAAUGACUCGUAACUUUGAUUAAGGAGAAUCAAGAUGUUUCAGAAACUAGACAAAAUUUCGGACGACUUCCGUGUUCCGGUCAAAUUUAGAUUCUAGUUCCCACGCCAUGGAAAAAGCCAUUCCAUGCCGUGGAGGCUCAAAAAAAUCCCGAAAACUCCCCGUGCUGGUCUACGAGUUCGCGUGCAAAAAGGAAACCCAUUUCCAUGCCGUGGAUGUCUAUUUCUCAAGCCAUGGAGACGUAAAAUUUAUAAAUUAUAGGUUUUACAACCCUAAGUCGGAUGCUAACUUCCACAAACUUGGGGAGCAAGUUAUUAGUCAAUUUCAAAUGUAUUUCAGAGCCUAAGAACACCAUUGAAGAGUGGAUUUGAAGAUCACGAAUGGAAUUACUUGAUUUAUUCAUUUCGGUUUGUUUUAUAUCAUGUAUUUCAAUAUCGAAAACAUUAGAUUAUGUUUUCUAGUUUUGAUUCAAGACUAAAAACGUUAUUACUUUCACUAGAUGUAGAUGAACCCUAGUUAAUAUGUUUUUGACUUUGUUAGUAGGAUUUUGUGAGUUGGAUUUUUGCUUGUGAUCGAUUGAUUGUUUA